AACACCAGUUAUAGUUGGGGAAGGUGAACCUCCUCCCUCUUAGAAUCCGGUACCAACUCCAAAAGGUAUUAAAUUCUUUGUACGUAUAUAUGGUUUACUUUAGUCCUUGUUACUUGUACUUUUGAAAUGAUACAUGAUUUGCUUUAAUUCUAUUUUAUUAUUUAACUUCUAGCUGACAAUAAAUCUAUAUUCUUUAGUUCUACAAUGAGUAUGUCAUUGCGAGAUCAUAUUAGAAAGAGGAGGGAAGAAGAAGAUGAUGACAUGAUGUUGUUUAUUUUCCCUGCCUUAUCUGAUGGGUUCAACUAGAGGUGGGGGACAAAAGAAGAAACACCAUACAUCAGAUGAGACAGGAGAGGUUAAGGUUCAAAGACUCCUGGAGGGACAUGUCAAGAACUGACAAGUUACAUUUAGGAUGGAACCACACAUCUUUAGAGAGCUGGCAACUUAUCUUGGAAGGAGAAGAAUUGUCGUUGAUACAACGAUCACGGUCGAGGAGAAGUUGGGGUUCUUCUUAUACAUGCUAAGUCACAAUGCCUCAUAUCAAGAUCUUCAAGUGUACUUUGGGCAUAGUAAUGACACCUUCCAUCAUCACAUCAACCACUUCUUUACGAAGGUCAUUCCUAUCCUCUCUCGUCGUUUCAAUCAGCCUCCUGAUCCUAAUCAAGUGCAUCAAAAAAUUCAAGAUAAUCCUAGAUUCUAUCCAUUCUUCAAGAAUUGUCUCGGUGCUAUUGAUGGAACACAUAUUCCUAUUUCCAUAUCUUCUGAGAAACAUUCUCCUUUUCGAAAUCGGAAGGGAACACUCAGUAUAAAUGUGAUGGUGGUAUGUGACUUUGAUCUCAACAUCACUUUUGUUUCUAGUGGAUGGGAGGGAUCAACUAUAGAUUCUAGAGUGCUAAGAUCAGCUAUGAGCAAGGGUUUCUAGGUACCUUCAGGAAAAUUCUAUCUAGUUGAUGGAGGGUAUGCAAAUACUCCAUCUUUUCUUGCUCCAUACCGAGGAGUUCGGUACCACUUGAAAGAAUUUGGAGCUAGACAUCGAAGACCAUAGAACCCAAAGGAGCUCUUCAACCACCGCCACACACUACUAAGGAAUCAUGUGGAAAGGGCUUUGGGGGUGCGUAAGAAGCGCUUCCCCAUUCUAAUAGUUGCCACAUUCCACACACUGGAAAAUCAAGUAAAGGUACCUAUGGCUGCUGCCAUCUUCCAUAAUCUAAUUCGAUCACUUCAUGGCGACGAGGAAUGGCUAGAUCAUCAACCAGAUAAUAUCGAUCAAUCAAACUUUGUUGCUCUAACAAGUGGAGAUCAGAUGAAUGACCCAUGCACUACACAAGACAAUAGUUUAAGAGAUAUCAUCGCCCAGGAAAUGUGGAUUGAAUAUCAACAACAUUUAAAUUAGUAUUUUCGUGGUUGAACAAGAUGUAAUAAUUUAGUAUUGUGACAUGUAAUAAGUUAGUAUUAUAACAUAUAAACAUUAAUUUAGUAGUAUUGUAACUUAUAAUAAGUUUUUUCUUUGACAAGCUAUGGCUGGAAAAGGCUCUCCAAGGUUCAACAUGAGCAGUUCCCCAAAGUUGCGAAGGUUCAUUCCCACAACAAGUGCUACUAAAAAGGCCUUCUCCUAAAUGCAGUGGGGCAAAAAAGAGUGGUGGUUCUACAAGAGUAGUGAAACAAAGAGCGGAUUGGAAUCCUGGCCAUGAGAGGUCCCUUGUUAACAUUCUCCAUGAAUUUAAAGAUAGUGGCUAUAGAGGUGACAAUGGUUGGAGCUCUGAAGGGUGGAAUAGGAUGGUCAAGGAGUUCCAUGUGAGGAACAAGUAUGUAUCCUUUACAAUGGAUCGGAUUCAGGAUAAAGAAGGUCAGUUGAAGAGAGACUAUAAGAUGCUCAAAGCAGCAAGGCAACAAAGUGGAUCGAGCUGGAAUGAGAAAAGAAAUGUGGUUGAAGGACCACCAACUUUGUGGGAGAAUCAAAUGGUGACAUUCCCUAAAAUCAAGAAGUUUAACAACAAGGCAACUUUCCCGCUCUUUGAUGCUUUGGGAGAGCUUUAUGAUUGACACUUGGCUAGAGGGACUUGGUGUUGCACUUCCAUUGAGGCACCGUAAGAGGAAGAACUGAAUGAGCAACUUUAGGAUGCAGAAGAUGGACCACAAGGCUUUGAUCUGAAUGAUGUUCAUGAUGUAGAUGAUGAAGUUGAUGAUACACUCAAUGAAAGGAAUGAAGAUGUGCUUCAAGGAAGGGCUAAUACUCUAUCGCAAGAUGAAGAAAGUGGACAACAAAUACCUGUUGCAUCAAGAAACAAACAAGAAAAGGAAUUAAAGAAGCUUAGAAAGAGUGACAACAUAGAAAAUAUGAUGGGAAGAUACCUAGAAAUGAGGAGCAAGCAAGUAGAAUAUGAAUCUGCAAGAGAAAAGGAGGCAGAGAAAUGGAGGUAACUCAAAGUGAUGAUUUCUCCAUCAAAAGGUGCACAUCAGUUAUGAACACAAUAGAAGAAGUGACCAAACUGGAGAAGGCAACGACAUAUUCAAUCUUCGUCGAGAGCAAAGAGAACAUAGAAACUUUCAUAUGUGCUUGUGAAGCAGAUUAAGAAUCGGCUUUGAUUUGGCUAAGAAAUGAGAUGUCUUAGCAGCUUCGAUAUGGAUAGUAUUGGGAAGCAAAGUAUUGGAAAUUGCUAUCAAACAGUUCACUUGAUAUUUGAUAUGUCAAACAAGUGUAUUCGAUAUGUCUUACAAAAAAUUGUUUAGGAUCACUUGUAUUAGCAGCUUUGAAUUGUUGUCUUAGCACCUUUGAUAUGUCUUAGCAAAAACUGCCAGUUCACUCUUUGAUAUGUCUAGAUUGAACCAAUUCACUCUUUGAUGUCUUAGACUGAAUGUGACUCUGAUAUGUCUUAGCAUUGAA